UUUCUUCUUCUUCUUCUUCUUCUUCUUCUUCUUCUUCUUCUUCUUCUUCACAUCUCUUUUCAAGAAGAAGAAGAAGAAGAAGAAGAAGAAGAAG